rnacentral:lncRNA from 1 species
UAAACUCUACCUAACCCUAAACCCUUUCUAGUCCUAAAUCUAACCCUAAACCCUUUCUAGCCCUUAAUCUAACCCUAAACCCUACUAACCUUAUACCUUUCUAAUCCUAAACCCUACCUAAUUCUAAACCCUACCUAACCCUAAUCCUAUAUAACCCUGAACCCUACUAACCCUAAACCCUACUAACCCUAAACCCUACCUAACCAUAAAACCUUUCUAACCUUAAAUCCUUUCUAGCCCUAAACCCUAUCUAACCCUAAACCCUACUAACCCUAAACCCCACUAACCCUAAAUCCUACUAAUCCUAAACCCUACAUAACCCUAAACCCUGUCUAACACUAAACCCUACCUAACUCUAAACCAUACGUAACCUUAGACCCUACCUAACCCUAAACCCUACCUAACCCUAAACCCUACAUAAUCCUAAACUCUACCUAGCCCUAAACCCUACCAACCCUAAACCUUUUUUAACCCUAAACCCUACCUAACCCUAAACCCUUCCUAACCCUAAACCAUGCCUAACCCUAAAAACCCUACCUAACCCUAAAACCUUUCUAACCCUAAACCCUACCUAACCCUAAAUCCUGCUAACCCUAAACCCUGCCUAAACCUAACCCUAAAACCCUACCUAAACCUAACCAUAAAUCCCAUCUAACGCUAAAACUCUACCAACCCUAAACACUAAAAAAUAAUCUCAAAACUUAAAGUUAAAAAA